UGGGGAAUUUUGCGCAAUGGGGGAAACCCUGACGCAGCAACGCCGCGUGAGUGAUGAAGGCCUUCGGGUCGUAAAGCUCUGUCAGAGGGAAAGAAGUGUAUAGUGGUUAAUACCCAUUAUACUUGACGGUACCCUCAAAGGAAGCACCGGCUAACUCCGUGCCAGCAGCCGCGGUAAUACGGAGGGUGCGAGCGUUGUUCGGAUUUAUUGGGCGUAAAGCGCGUGUAGGCGGUCUUUUAAGUCUGAUGUGAAAGCCCUGGGCUCAACCCGGGAAGUGCAUUGGAAACUGGGAGACUUGAAUACGGGAGAGGGUAGUGGAAUUCCUAGUGUAGGAGUGAAAUCCGUAGAUAUUAGGAGGAACACCGGUGGCGAAGGCGGCUACCUGGACCGAUAUUGACGCUGAGACGCGAAAGCGUGGGGAGCAAACA
rnacentral:rRNA from 1 species